UACGUAGGGGGCAAGCGUUGUCCGGAAUCAUUGGACGUAAAGCGCGUGUAGGCGGCUUGAUAAGUCUGCUCUGAAAGCCCGGGGCUCAACCCUGGGAGGCGGGUGGAUACUGUCGAGCUCGAGUCCGGAAGAGGCGAGUGGAAUUCCUGGUGUAGGCGGUGAAAUGCGCAGAUAUCAGGAGGAACACCAAUGGCGAAGGCAGCUCGCUGGGACGGUACUGACGCUGAGACGCGAAAGCGUGGGGAGCAA
rnacentral:rRNA from 1 species